CGGCGCUUCCUACACCCAGAGGUGCAGAUUUCCCACGUGAAUCGUUUGUAGUUCCUCUCUGCAUUUCCUCUUCAGUUUCUCUGACCUGCUGAAGGCUUGCCAUUCGUCAUCACUCUAGUUGCAGGGAGGAGAUUUGCCAACUAAUUUGGAUCAAGAUCAGUACUGAAAGAAGAAGAAGAAGAAGAAGAAGAAGAAGAAGAAG